rnacentral:rRNA from 1 species
AUUGAACGCUAACGGCAUGCUUAACACAUGCAAGUCGAACGGCAGCACAGCAGUAGCAAUACUGUGGGUGGCGAGUGGCGGACGGGUGAGUAAUGUAUAGGAAUCUGCCUUGUAGUGGGGGAUAACCUGGGGAAACUCGGGCUAAUACCGCAUAAUCUUUACGAAGCAAAGCGGGGGAUCGUAAGACCUUGCGCUAUAAGAUGAGCCUAUAUUGGAUUAGCUAGUUGGUGGGGUAAAGGCCUACCAAGGCGACGAUCCAUAGCUGGUCUGAGAGGAGGAUCAGCCACACUGGGACUGAGACACGGCCCAGACUCCUACGGGAGGCAGCAGUGGGGAAUAUUGGACAAUGGGGGAAACCCUGAUCCAGCAAUGCCGUGUGUGUGAAGAAGGCCUUCGGGUUGUAAAGCACUUUUAGUGGGAAAGAAAAGCUCAAAGCUAAUAACUUUGAGCCUUGACGUUACCCACAGAAAAAGCACUGGCUAACUCUGUGCCAGCCGCCGCCGUAA